UCCUGCUAGCGACGUCCUCGGCGCGACUCGGCAGUGGCGUUCUCACAGCGCGGCAGAGGUCUGGAGGGCUGAUGUGGUUUAUAAAUAACACUGAUAGACGUAUUUUCUUAUAUCUGAGCUGAAAUACAUGCAUGUCUUUAGGGUAUGUAAUAUAAAAGCCCAGAAGAUAAGUUUACAUUUAAUAAGAUGUUGUUUUCUAUUUUUGGAUUUAUUAUUUCCCCCCUUUUUGGUAGUUGGAGUCUGGGGGGAGUAUAAUAUUUGUAUUAAAGAACUGUCACCGCAGAGUGACGUUUAUUUUCCAAGGUGACAUUGAACUCACGCUCUUGGUUUCAUACGGUGUUUGUGUGCUGUGCCCAUACUCAAGGCCUGAGGGUUUGAGGAAAAUGAAUUUUUUUUUCCUAUCUGGUUUUCACGUGCAGUUCUUUUAAAUGUCACUGAAUGUGCUAAAUUUGAGUCGAGUGAGACCUUUGGGCAGAUGGGAAGCCCGGUGCCUGCCAGCGUCCCCAGGAGGCCCAGCUUGUUCCCACACAGAUGAGUCCCUCCCGUCCGGCGGGCAGCCCGGAGCCGCUCCGGUCCGCCCGGGCGGGCGACGGGGCCUCGGUGCCUCUCCCAGUCUGCGUGGCCGAGUUCCCUGCUGCAGCUCGUCUCAGAGCUGGUGGCCCGGGGAAACCUGGCCCUCGGAAAGUUUGUCGGUUGGAAAUCUGAUCACCCGACCCCCCCUUACAGGGAGAGAGAAUUGGUCCCUUGUGUCCGACCUGUGUCCCAGGAUGAGCGCGGUUUAGGAGGGCCAUGGUAUUAACCUUGAAUCCUCUGAGUUCCCGGGUUCCUUCUCCGUCCUCCACAUCCCAGCACCAGCAAGAACGAGGAUCCCAGAGGUCAGAACAGUGGUGAGAGCUGAAGCUGGUGCCGGCAGGCACCCACUUAAUGCCAUGACCCCUGGUCACGAGGCUUCCCGCUGCCCUGCUGGCCGCGGAAGCCAGCCCCCCGCCUGUCCCUGGACGGCCUCGCACCCACUGGUGUUAGUGCAGGUGCGGCACCUUGUUGGAGGUCAGGCCCAGCAGGGCCUGGCGGGUGCAUUCAUUGCAUCUGAACUUGCACCCCGGAGGCAGAGGGGGGAGCCAGCGCUCCCCCCUCUGCCCCCUCGCAGCACAGCCGUGCACCCCGCAGCCUGCUCUCCAGCGUUGCGGAAGGCACCGCUUCCACAUGCGGAAGCUUUGCCUGAGUGGCCGGCUACUCCCCUGCACCCCAACUCAUGACCUUGGUUGGUUUUGAUUGUUACCGCUCAGGCUGUGUUCAGGCCCCUCUGCACGCGUGUGAAAGGCAGCCACCUCCCCUCCGGGCCUGAGUGGUCAGCAGAGGGCCAGAGAGGAGCUGUAAGCUGGGGCUGGAGCGAGGCUUGCGGGGAGGGGUGCGUGCAUCCUGUCGACACACUCAAUCCAUACCCCUUUUAAAAAACGGAACGGAAUGUUGAUCGCCGGCACGGGUCAGCAGACAAACCAAACCUCCCAGGGGCCGGGCGCGCCGUGGGAGUCUGCAGAAGAGUGGGGGAGGGGCAGUGUCACGUUCGUCUCAGAGCACACUGAUGGGUUUUCCACAGAGGGGCAGGUUUGAUCAGAUUGACUGCUUGUCAUUCAAGACACUCAGAUGCCAUAAGAAAUGAGUGUGGGGCGCCUCGGGGUGGGGGCGGGCGUUGCUGUGCUGUGUCCUGUUGGCCGCCCCACCUGGGGGCCGCCGGCGCUCUGCUUACACUGGAGGGGAAGGGGCGUGGGUACCAAACCUUGUCCUACGGCAUCCAUAACUCAUGAGGCUCGCUUAUCUACAGAUGGUGACUGGUCAAGUGGUUUUCAUAGAACAGUUAUGUUUUUACUCACUUUCUGGUAACCUCCGUAGGCCCUGGUUCAAGGACUUAGCAUUGCGUCUCAUGUACAUCUUUUUCUUAAAUGUUCUUUGCCAUUUCUGGAAUUGUCCUUGGUUUUUCCUUAGCUCAUAGGUCAUAGAUGCAGAAGUAUUAUUGCAUUUAAGGCAUCCGCAUCAAGCAAGAUGGCUUUGCAUCCAGAAAAACAUUUAAUGAUAACUCAGUUUGAAGCACCAAGCAUGUGUAACAUGGUUCUAUAAAAUAUAAUAAACGCAUAAUGUUGUUAAGCUUUU